CACUAAACAGCUAGCCCCACCAACCAAAAACAACAAACCACUAUUUAUACCCCCCAAUACACCAACCCCCCCAAAAACAAACCAUUUUACCUCCCAAGUAUGGGCGACAGAAAAGGACCCGUGGCGCCAUAGAAAAAGUACCGCAAGGGAACGCUGAAAAAGUAAAUGAAAAAAUUCAGUAAAGUAAAAAAAAGCAGAGACUAGCUCUCGUACCUUUUGCAUCAUGAUUUAGCCAGUAACACCCAAGCAAAGAGCACUUUAGUUUGUGACCCCGAAACUAAGUGAGCUACUCCAGGACAGCCUAUUAACAGGGCAAACCCGUCUCUGUGGCAAAAGAGUGGGAAGAGCCUCGAGUAGAGGUGACAGACCUAUCGAACUUAGUUAUAGCUGGUUGUCUAGGAACUGAAUAGAAGUUCAGCCUCCUGGCUUCUUCCCUCACCUUGACCUUAGUCCCUUCUGAGCCUCAAGAAACCAAGAGAGUUAAUUAAAGGGGGUACAGCCCCUUUAAAACAAGACACAACUUUAUCAGAUGGGUAAAGAUCAUACUUCACCAAGGCAAAGUGUUCUAGUGGGCCUAAAAGCAGCCACCCAAUAGAAAGCGUUAAAGCUCAGACACCCCAAACAUGCCUCUAAUCCCGAUAACAAUUCUUAACCCCCUAAUCCUACUAGACCGCCCCAUGCCAAGCAUGGGAGAGAUUAUGCUAAUAUGAGUAAUAAGAGAGCCCAGGCCCUCUCCUAGCACAAGUGUAAAUCGGAACGAACCCCCACCGAACAUUACCGGCCCCAACCCAAGAGGGCAAUGAGAAAAAAACAAACAACCAGAAAACUCCCCAACAAACAACCGUUACCCCCACACUGGUGUGCACCCAAGGAAAGACCAAAAGAAAAAGAAGGAACUCGGCAAACAUUAGCCUCGCCUGUUUACCAAAAACAUCGCCUCUUGCAAAAUCAACAAAUAAGAGGUCACGCCUGCCCUGUGACAGAUAGUUUAACGGCCGCGGUAUUUUGACCGUGCAAAGGUAGCGCAAUCACUUGUCUUUUAAAUGAAGACCUGUAUGAAUGGCACGACGAGGGCUUGACUGUCUCCUUUUUCAAGUCAAUGAAAUUGAUCUCCCCGUGCAGAAGCGGGGAUAGACCCAUAAGACGAGAAGACCCUAUGGAGCUUCAGACACAAAAGUAGAUCUUGUUAAACCCCCUAAAACAAAAGACUAAACCAAAAGAACCCUACCCUAAUGUCUUUGGUUGGGGCGACCGCGGGGAAAAAACUAACCCCCAUGUGGAAUAAGAGAACUUCUCUUACAAACAAGAGCCACAGCUCCAGUUAACAGAAAAUCUGACCUUAAGAUCCGGCAAUGCCGAUCAACGGACCGAGUUACCCUAGGGAUAACAGCGCAAUCUCCUUUUAGAGCCCAUAUCGACAAGGAGGUUUACGACCUCGAUGUUGGAUCAGGACAUCCUAAUGGUGCAGCCGCUAUUAAGGGUUCGUUUGUUCAACGAUUAAAGUCCU
rnacentral:rRNA from 1 species